UACGUAGGGGGCAAGCGUUGUCCGGAUUUAUUGGGCGUAAAGCGCUCGCAGGUGGUUUGUCGCGUCGUGCGUGAAAGACCCCGGCUCAACUGGGGGAUGUCGUGCGAUACGGGCGGACUGGAGGCCAGUAGGGGGAUGCGGAAUUCCGGGUGUAGUGGUGGAAUGCGUAGAGAUCCGGAGGAACACCAGCGGCGAAGGCGGCAUCCUGGACUGGUCCUGACACUCAGGAGCGAAAGCGUGGGGAGCGAGCCGG
rnacentral:rRNA from 1 species